GUUAGGUCAAUUAAGAUUUAUCAUGGAUGGUGAGCUUAGUCAACAUUUUGAUAUUGUAGUCAUUCUCUGAUUCUUUCUCCUAGUUUGUCAUUAAUUUUCAUAUAACCAAACUGAACAUCAGUCUACUAGAGUUGCUCAAUAUGUUGAAGACAACUGAGAGCCAUUUUAAGAUUGAAAAUGCUCCUAUAAUGAUAGUGGACAACCUUAAGAAGGC
rnacentral:lncRNA from 1 species